GUCGGGCAGCCAAGCCUGAUUUCUUAUUUCUGACCGGAAGUGACGUUUUUCUCAAAAUGGCUGACUUUUAGUGUGGUAGUGCCACUUGCCUAUUUUGAUUGUUUAUGUCAAAACUAAGAAGUCUACAGUUACUUUGCUGUUCUCUGCACCUUUAGCAUUGGAUAAAGAUGUAGAUAACUGAUCUUCUACAUUUAUAACCAAGAACUGUUUGUGUUUCAGGUGCUUGUUUCCACUGUAAGGAUUUAAAAUGGCUGACACAAAAAUCAUACUAAAUUCUAUAACUUGUAAAAUAGAGUGAAUGCAAUCACACUUACAAGUUUCAUUGCUCUAGGAGAAAAGGGAAAAUUUUUCUAAGGUAUUAAAGGUCCCAGCAAGUAGCCUAGCUAUGUGUUUGUGUGUGUUUAGCAUUGUUGUAUCCAUGAGUAUAGCUUGUAAUUAUUGAUAUAUAUGUAAAUUGUAGCUAUUGCAGUGGUUUUCAACUUUCUUUAUAUCUGUAUUUGGAAGAUAUCUUGAGAUUUCAUGAGAGCCGCAAUUUUUGUUCAUAUUUGUACUCCAUGAACUGUGUUAAGUAUCUGGUUGCCUAUUUUGGCAUUAUAGACAAAGGUUAUUGUGAGGAUAUAGACUUUGAUCCCAAUUAUUUUCUUCCUGGAUAAAGAUAUCAUGAUUUAUUACAAUUUUUAUAAUAAAUUUUAAUUAAUUUAA